GUAUUACUCCCUCCGUUCGGAAUUACUUGUCACAAAAAUGGAUGUAUCUACAACUAAAAUACAUCUAGAUACAUUCAUUUCUUGGACGAGUAAUUCCGAAAGGAGGGAGUAUGUA
rnacentral:pre_miRNA from 1 species